rnacentral:misc_RNA from 1 species
AUCUAUCAACCCAACUGAGAUGUAAUCUUGUGUUUGGUGCUUGGAUGAUGAAGGUUGCUGGAGUCAACAUCAGCUCCUUUUAAAUGCAUUAGCAGAACUUUGUAUCAGCUUUGGUUUGAUAAUAAUUUUAUCUGAGCCGUUGCUGAUAAGCAAUAGUUUAGCUUACAAUUGUCUCAUUUGAGACUGUCCAACUUUUGGGCAUUAUU